rnacentral:rRNA from 1 species
AUUGAACGCUGGCGGCAGGCCUAACACAUGCAAGUCGAGCGGAUGAAGGGAGCUUGCUCCUGGAUUCAGCGGCGGACGGGUGAGUAAUGCCUAGGAAUCUGCCUGGUAGUGGGGGAUAACGUCCGGAAACGGGCGCUAAUACCGCAUACGUCCUGAGGGAGAAAGUGGGGGAUCUUCGGACCUCACGCUAUCAGAUGAGCCUAGGUCGGAUUAGCUAGUUGGUGGGGUAAAGGCCUACCAAGGCGACGAUCCGUAACUGGUCUGAGAGGAUGAUCAGUCACACUGGAACGAGACCAGGUCCCAGAUCCCUAGGGGAGCCAGCAGUGGGAAAUAUUGGCCAUUGGGGGAAAGCUUGAUCCAGCCAGGCGGGGGGUGUGAAGAAGGUCUUCGAUUGGUAAACACCUUUAAGUGGGGAGAAGGGGCGUUAGGUUAAUACCUGGCUGUUUGGCCGUUCCCAACAGAAUAGGCACCGCUUACUUCGUG